AUGCCGAUUAACUUUCUUCUGUUUCUUCUGUUAACUUUUGCUAAUAGAGAGAUCCCUGUGGUAGAUAAAAUCGCAACUGUGUCAGGUUCACUGACAAACUUGUUAAUUGAGCAUGAACUUGUAUCUCCCUCCGUGUCUCUGCUCUCUCCGUCCCCUCUGCAGCUGUCUGAGGGAUCGGCCUCGCUGCUCUGCCUGCUGUCUGGCUACUCUCCACAGGGGGCGCUGGUUAGCUGGACAGUGGACGGCUCAGAGGUGAAGAACGGGGUUCUGACCAGCGCAGAAGAAGAGAAGAACGGCCGUUACAGCCGCAGCAGCACCCUGACCCUCAGCAAAGACCUCUGGGAAAAGGGGGAGGAGUUCAGCUGUAAGGUCUCCCAUAACAACGGCAAUCAUCCAGUCACGUUCAGAAAGAGUCAGUGUGAAGGCUAGUGGAUCCAAGAUAGAGUUUAACAUAGAGCUGCUUCUGAUCCAUGUACAAUAGAGUUUCAAUUCUACACAAUGCUUACAUUUCUGUCUUUACUCUGUUCACUGUCCUGUUGCUCUUCCUGUAGUUUCUGCUGAAAUAAAUCUGAAUUUUGGA